CAAUUAGGAAAAAUCAAACCAAAGUAGGAAACCUUGGCUUAACUUUCCUACUUCAAGUAGGAAUCCUUGUUCUUCUAGGAAUCCUCAUGUGAUUAGGAAUCCGUCUUCAAUUAGGAAUCCUCCUUCAUGUAAGCACUUUCCUACUUCAACUAGGAAACCUUGUUCAAGUAGGAAUCAUCAUCUUCAAGCCUUCAAAUUCGUCCAAACCUUGGCUCCAAAUAUGUGACAUGCAUUCCAAACUCCAUUUUGCUCCAAAAAGCUCCAUUUUGCUUCUUUUUGCACAC
rnacentral:lncRNA from 1 species